CUCGGUCCAACCCCACCCCUCACCCCCACUUAAUGAAGCGACAAUGUUUCAGUUACAAGGCAUCCCAACCGUUGAUUAUCUAUUGAUCUAACAGAUGGGAACUAAACCCUUCUGCUCCCCAUAAGUGUCGGAGCACACCCCUCUAAAACCCCUCAGACUCUCCCCAUUUCCCUCUUCCGUCUCUCAAGAGCAAAUAGAUUGCUCUUAAGAAGAACAAUCAUUUUGGGUCAGUUUCAAGCUAUUUCAAAAUGCAACCAGGACAUGGCUUCAGCCCGUUAUUCUCAUUGGGUAUUUCCUUGUCUUUCUUUUUCUAUUUUGGUAUUUUAUUUUUUCUAAGACAAAUUAAAAAGAGAAAAAAGAAGCAAUGAUUAUUAUUGAUUGUUUUCCUAUGUUCAAUUAUUAGUUGUUUCAGUUGUUCUUUUCUAUUGAUUUAUUAACAAGUUGAUUUGUAGUUCGUUAGCAUUAAUUCAAUUCGAGUUCGCAACUGUUUAGGACAUAUUCUUUAUGGUAUUUUCUUUUCUUUCUUUUGUUCUUCCCUUUUUUCUUUCUCAUAAUUGUUGUUCUUGUUUAGUUUGCAUGCUUUAGGUUAUUCAUAGUGUUUUGUGUUGUUAUUUGUUUUACUCAUUUUGUAUAUGUUAGUCAUCAAACAUGUUCGUUUCUGAAGAGUUCUUGUGGAGUCCAUCGGGUUUAGGUUUAUUUAAGUUUUUAGAUGUCUAACGCUCUAAGUUUAAUUACAUUGUCUAGCUUUGUUGUUUGCUAUUUGAUUUGUUUGUUGAUACUUGCUUGUUUGUUUUUGUUUGUCGUAAUUUGUAUGUCACUAGGAACUUGUAAGGGGUAAUUGAACAAGAAAGAAAACUUAAGGGAGUCAUUUGAAAGAUGGGUAAGUAGAAAUUUCAUAUAGGGUAAUUAGAAGGUUCUAGAAUAUGGACAGUUGGCCCCAUUUUGCCAAUAUAAAUUUCUGAAGCCAAUUAGAAAUGGCCAGUUGUCCAGUUUCUGUUAAAAAGAUGCUCUUUUUGAUUUUUUUUUGUUGAGGGCUAUUUUAAAGGAAUUGUUGCCUGACUUGGAGGGCAUAUGGCAGAUUUAGUACCUAUAUAUAUGACCUCUUCUCUCUCACAAAUAGAGAAAAAAGGACCUCUGAAAAAUCCAGCUCUAGGCUCUAGUCAGUUUUUCUUUAUUUUCUGCUUUUUCACAAAAAGUUUGAAAGAGUUUUUACUUUGGAUUUUAAGUUGAAAUAUUGAUUGAUACUGAGGCUUUGUAUUGGUUGAUUCUGUUGUUUCUCUGCUGCUGGCUCUACUGUUUCUUACGAUUUUUUACUGAUCUUAGAGAUACCUUUGCUUAUUCAGUUUACCCGCCAUAUCUAGGUACCUUUUCUUGAACCAUGAAUGGAAAAUGGAGUAUGAUCAUGCUUAUGUAGAAGAUGUAUUCAUGCUGGAAUUAAUGGAGUUGUUCAUGUUAAAUUCCAACAUUCAUGUUUUUUUAGACAUUCAAUUUUUUUCUUUCUUUUAGCUCUUAGUUAAAAACCGAUAAGUCUGCUAUUUCAUUUAAUGGUUAGUUGAUUGUCCAAUAUAAAAUGCUUAGUAGUUCAUUUUUGUGUACUAGAUUUUCUUGAGGAUUUCGUUCAUUAAAGGCAAGUAAAUAAACAACUUCUGUUUGUGUGCUCGUUGAAUUGAAUAUUGGUUAGUGUGCUGGUAAUAACUCAUUUAGGAAGGUUGAUGGAUCUUUUUUGAGGUUCAAGUUUUUUGUUCCAUUACAAAGGAAGUUCAUGUUCAAUCACUAAACCAUUUAAGAACAGCUCGAGCGAGUGUCAGCAAGGGACGGCGGGAGUUGGAAGUGAACGUGCUAGGUUGUCGCAACAUCGUCGUAUAUACCAAGACAAUUCAAGGUUCUACUCGCGGGAGUUGGUACCUCCUGUUUUCCUGUUUCCCUUUGUCUUGUUAGUUAAAUUGCUACCAAAUUAGUUCAUAUUAAUCUAUUCACCGUAUUAGUGUGCCUAUAGUUGUAGCUUGUCUUCUUCUAGUUUGGUAUGUUGCCUUGUAUGUGUUAGUGAUUCCCGGUGUAAGUAUAGUAGCGGUGGUUUGGGAUGGUCGAGUAAGGUCAUGUACUCUGGGGGAAUGGGGGGUGGGGCAGGAGGUAAGGCAGGGGUUAGGGGGUGGAUCAGGUGGAAAAGGAAGUAAAGGGGACAAUAUAGCACGUGUCCAAGAGGUAAAACGAAGAUCCUCCAGAAGAGAAGGGUCAAUAUAGCAUUUGUCCAAGAGACAAAGUGGGUAGGGUCGAGGGCAAAUGAUGCAGACAGAUAUAAGCUUUGGUACUCAGGAGUCGUGAAAGGUAAGAAUUGAGUAGGUAUCUUGGUGGAUAGGGGACUUAGAGAGUCUAUGGUUGAGGUUAGACGAGUGAAUAAUAGAUUGAUAAUUAUUAAGUUGGUAGUUGGUGAGUGCACAUUAAACGUUAUUAGUGCCUAUGCACCGCAUGCGAUCCUGGAUGAAGAGGUUAAAUGGCUUGUGGGAGGGGUUAGAUGAGAUUGUAUGCCAGGUUCCGCCUGCUGAGAAGCUAUUCAUAAUUUUGAAUUGCAAUGGUCAUAUCGGGUCGAACGCAGGUGGUUAUGGUGAGGUGCAUGGAGGCUUCUGUUUUGAGGAGAUAAAUAGAGGAUGUAUCUCGCUGUUGGACUUCGCUAAGGCUUUUGGGUUUGUGAUUGCGAACUCUAGUGUUCCAAAGAGAGAGGAGCAUUUAGUUACUUUUCAAAAUACAGCGGCGAAGAAUCAGAUUGACUAUCUAUUCCUCAAGAGGUGCGAUAGAGGGUUGUGCAAGGAUUGCAAGGUGAUUCCGGGUGAGAUAACUACACAACAUAGGCUCUUGGUGAUGGACGUUAGUAUUAUGUUAAAGAAUAUGAGAAUUCUGGUCGAGGAAGAUCGAGAACUAGAUAGGGAGCCUUAACUAAGGAUAAAUCCCAAGAGUUAGAAGGGCGGUUAUCAGCUUUGGGAGCUUGUAGGAGCAGUGGUAAUGCGAGCACUAUGUAGUUAGAAAUAGCAAACUGUAUAAGGGAGGCUACGAGAGAAGUCUUAGGGGUCUCGACGAUCGUAUCUGAUUGGCACAAAGGAGACUGGUGGUGGAGUAAAGUGGUCCAAGGUAAAAUGGAAGCGAAGAAGGUGGCAUACCUUAAGUUAAUGGGGAGCAUAGGAGGAGGAGAGGCGAGUGUGCAUAGAGAGGUAUAAGGUAGAUAGGAAGGAAGCUAAGAUGACAGUCAUGGAGGCUAAUACUGUGGCUUAUGGUCGUAUAUACGAGAAACUAGGGGAAAAAGGUGGGAGAAGAAGUUAUUCAGGCUGGCCAAUUUGAGAGAGAGAAAGGCUCGGGAUUUGGAACAAGUGAGAUGCAUCAAGGAUGAUGACAGUAGAGUAUUGAUGGAAGAUGCCCAAAUUAAGAGGAGAUGGUAGACUUACUUUCAUAAACGUUUGAAUAAAGAAGGGGAUUGAGAUAUUGUGCUAGGCGAAUUGGAGCAUUCCAAGAGUCACCGUGACUCUGGUAUUACAGGCAUAUCAAUAUUAAGAGGGUCGUGGGAGCUAUGCAUAAGAUGAGUAGGGGCAUAGCGACUGGGCCAGAUGAGAUUCCAGUAGAAUUUAGAAGUGGGUGGGGAGAGCAGGUUUGGAGUGGUUGACUAGGUUGUUUAAUAUUAUUUUUAAGGCGAAGAUGAUGUCGGAUGAGUGGAGGUGGAGUACGGUGGUCCUAUUGUAUAAGAACAAAGGUGAUAUCCAGAGUUGUAACAAUUAUAGGGGUAUCAAAUUACUGAGUCAUACCAUAAAAGUGUGGGAGAGGGUGGUUCAAGCAAGGGAGAGGAUGAUAGUGUCUAUAUCCGAUGACCAGUUUGGGUUCAUGCCGGGUCGUUCUACUAUAGAAGCUAUACAUAUUAUUAGGAGGUUAAGUGAACUGUACAGAGAGAGGAAGAAGGAUCUGCACAUGGUGUUUAUUGACCUAGAGAAGGCGUAUGACAAGGUUCAUAUAGAAGUUCUCUAGAGAUGCUUGGAGGCGAAUGGGGUGUCGGUUCCCUAUAUUAUGGCGAUUAUGUGACGACCCAAUGGGGUCAUCACUUAUUUAUUUUCUGUUCUGUACUUUCGAGGCCUUAAAACCUCUUCUCGAGUUGCCUCGAUUAGCAUGUGCAGUCCCGACGCAUAGCCGGAAGGCUUAGAUAUGGAUUUUUGUGAGAAGAAUGCUAAUUUUGGUAUUAAAUUGAACAAAAUUUGACUUCGGUCAAUAUUUUAGGUAAACGGACCCGGACCCGUGAUUUGAAGAUCUCGAAUGGUCCGUAGGAAAAUAUGGGACUUGAGCGUAUGCCUGGAAUCAGAUUUCGAGGUCCCAAGUCCGAGAAAUGAUUUUUAUGUGAAAUUGUUUUCUGUAAAUGAUUAAAGAAAAUGGAAACAAAAUGUUAUUAGAAGACUGGGGUAUCGGGCCUGUAUUUUAGUUGCGGUGCCCGAUAUAAGUCUUAUAUAUGAUUGGAGCUCUUCCCCUAAAGUUUGAUUGAAAACGGACGUCGUUUGACGUGUUUUGGACCCGAAAUGGGAAUUCUAUAUCUUAUGAAAUUGGGAGAAACCAUGAGUUUUGAGGCUCAAUCCGAUGUUCAUGAUGUUAUCUUGGAGAUUUGAUUGCAUGGACAAGUCCGUAAGGUGUUUUACGGAUGUUUUUGAGGUUGUGUGUAUAUUUGGUUUGGAGCCCCGAGGGUUCGGGUGAAUUUCGAGAAGGUUCCGGGAGGUCUUAGACCUAAAACACCAGGUAUUGCAGGUUGGGUGCGAGCUGAAGGUUCCAGCGCCGCCGUAGUCACGAUCGCCGCGGUCCGCUGCAUGAGCCGCACGAUCGUGGUCUCCCUCGCGCGAUCUGCGUUGUCCGCUUCAGAGGACCCGCAACCUUCUGUUUCUCUAGCGCGGCCGCGCCCGCUUUUGUGUGGUCCGCGGCGUGAGCCGUGCGGCUGCGGUCACCUUCGCGCGGUCCGCACUGCCGAUCUUAGAGAACCUGCAACUUUCAGCUCCACCAGCGCGGCCACGGUCAUCCCCGUGUGGUCCAUGCUGGAGGUUCAAGGAAUAUAUAUACACGGGAUUUUUCAGUUAUUUCUCACAUUUCAAAAACCCAAAACCUAAGAGGUGAUUUUCUAAGCAAUACUUCUUCUUCAAAACGAUCGUUAAGUAUUUUUAACUCAUUUUGUUCUCUCCUUAACACCUUUUUACAUAAUUUCAACAUCAAAUCAAAGGUUUUAAUGGAAGAUUCGGGUAUAUCGGGUGGGACCUAGGGUUUUGCUAAAUUGGGGGUUGGACCUCAAUUUGAGGUCCGAUUUCAAAACUAAUCAAAUGAUUGGAUUCGUGGGGGAACGUGUAACCGGAUUUUAGUUCGAAUCUCGGGGCUUAACCACGUUGGUUUGAGGGGUGUUUUGGUCAUUUUACCUAAAAUUUUGUCUUAGCUAUAAAUUUAAGAGUAGAAUUAGUUGCUUGAGAUGUUAUUUACAAUGUUUAAUUGAAAUGAAUAUAUUUGGUCCAUUUGGAGUCAGAUACUCGUGGCAAAAGAGUGAUUUCAAGUUGAUCAUUGGAGCCGAUUGAGGUAAGUGGCUUGUCUAACCUUGUGUGGGGGACCUUUCCCCUAGGAUAUGUUAAUUCGUAAUUCAGUGCCUUGUACGUAAGAUGACGAGCGCGUGCUUGAGCUAAUUGUUGAAAAAUCCGGUUCCUUUCUUAGAUAUUGAGGUUGAGUUUCUUUUGUACCUACUUACCUUACUUGCAAUUAUAACCUGUGUUAGAUGAGAAGGUCAUGUUUUGUUUAGCUUGCUUACUUGCUUAAAUUUCCUUAACUGCACUGUGUGAAACAUGUUAGGCUGGAAUUUUUUGUUGCUUGUAUUGUUGCACUUCAUUAUAAAUAUUCUUUUAUUGUGGUUGCGCAUAUUUACUUUGGGACUAUGGGUUUGAUUCCCGGGAGAUCCCCUUGCAUAUUUACUUUGGGACUACGGGUUUGAUUCCCGGCAAAUCCCCCUGCAUAUUACUUUGGGACUGCGGGUUUGAUUCCCGAGAGAUCCCCCUGCAUAUUUACUUUGGGACUACGGGUUGGCUUCCCGGGAGAUCCCUCUGUACUUGAUAUGUUCUGGACUGAGGGUGUGGGAUACCAAGAGAUCCCUGGCACAUGAGAUUGUAANNNNNNNNNNNNNNNNNNNNNNNNNNNNNNNNNNNNNNNNNNNNNNNNNNNNNNNNNNNNNNNNNNNNNNNNNNNNNNNNNNNNNNNNNNNNNNNNNNNNNNNNNNNNNNNNNNNNNNNNNNNNNNNNNNNNNNNNNNNNNNNNNNNNNNNNNNNNNNNNNNUAUUUAUAUAUAUCAAAACAAAAUUACAAAAUGAACCUAUAGAAUAUGAUGAGGAUACCAAGAUAUCCUCGAGAUACCAAGAGAUCCCUAGUGGAUAUGAUGAGGAUACCAAGAGAUCCACGAAUAUUAUUUCCUGUUGCGAGUAGUGUUCCUUGUAUUGUUUCGUUCCAUUUUUUUCCCUAUUGUUGUUUCCCUUAUUUAUCCUGUUUAGAUUCUCGCUGUAGAUUUUAAUUAUAUUGUCUUUCUUUAUCUCAUCAGAUAUUAUAUUUAUCUCAGUAGGGCCUUGACCUUCCUCGUCACUACCCAAUUGAGGUUAGGCUUGGCACUUACUGAGUACCGCUAUGGUGUACUCAUGCCUCUUCUGCGCAUGUUUUCUAUGUGCAGAUCCAGGUACCUCUUCUUAGGCGUACUAUCACCGAGGCGGAGAGAUAUAGCAGAGACUCGAGUUAUAUCUGCAGCCUCCGUAGACUGAAGAGUUUCCUUCCUAUUCCAUCCUGUAGUUAGCUAGUUUGCUAAUAUUUUUCAUUGAUGUAGACAUUUCCGGAGUUAGGGCAGUAUUAUAUACUUUAUAUAUCCUGUGUUGCCCGUGAGAUUCCAGGUUUUGGGGUUCUAUUUCUUAAUUGUGGCGUGAAGUGUAUGUUCCAAGUGGUAAAUUAUAUACAUUUCUUUAAGUUACUUAGUACUUAAGCUAUUAUUAUCGUGAAUGUUGUUAUUUCUGCACUUUAGGCUUACCUAGUCCUCGUGACUGGGUGCCGUCAUGACGUGUUCGCGGAUGGUGAACUAGGGUCGUGACAGAUUAAUGAUAUGUAUGAUGUGUCUAACACUCAGGUUAGGACAGUUGGAGGCGACUUUGACCAUUUUUCGAUUGUAAUGGGUUACACCAAAGUUCUGCGCUCAAUCCAUUCUUAUUCGCCCUGGUGGACGCGUUAACGCACCAUAUUCAAGGGGAGAUGUCAU
rnacentral:lncRNA from 1 species